rnacentral:rRNA from 1 species
GCUUAGAAAUAAACCCAGAUGGCACGCCCAACCUGCCAUCCGCCAGAGCACUACAAGUGAAAAACUUAAAACUCAAAGGACUUGACGGCAUUCCACAUCACCCUAGAGGAGCCUGUCCUGUAAUCGAUGACCCACGUUCCACCUCACCUACUUUUGCCCCCCCCAGCCUAUAUACCGCCGCCUAAAGCCCGCCUUACAAAAGCAAGCAUAGCAGACCAACCAGCCCAACACUCCCACGUCAGGUCAAGGUGUAGCUAACAAGUAGGAAGAGAUGGGCUACAUUUUCUUAGCAAAAGAAAACAACCAACAGCACUGUGAAACCUGUGCCACAAGGAGGAUUUAGCAGUAAGCCACGCAAACAUGCCUGACUGAACAACGCCCUGGAAUGAGU